rnacentral:rRNA from 1 species
GACAGAGGGUGCAAACGUUGCUCGGAAUCACUGGGCGUAAAGGGUGCGUAGGCGGGUCUUUAAGUCAGGGGUGAAAUCCUGGAGCUCAACUCCAGAACUGCCUUUGAUACUGAAGAUCUUGAGUUCGGGAGAGGUGAGUGGAACUGCGAGUGUAGAGGUGAAAUUCGUAGAUAUUCGCAAGAACACCAGUGGCGAAGGCGGCUCACUGGCCCGAUACUGACGCUGAGGCACGAAAGCGUGGGAGCAAACAGGG